CUUUGUGAUUUACUGAUUAAUCGAACCUUUAAAGGUAAAGAUGUCUUAAAAUUGCAAGUAAAGGUUUCAGAGGUGUAGAUAUAAAUGAAAACAUAACUCAUAUACUAUUCAACUAUUGCUUAGUGGUUAAAAAUUCUGCAAUGCUGCGUGCAAUUAAACAGUGAUCUUGAAUUUGGCGUAAACCCUAGAAAGUCAGUAAGAGAAAAUUAAUAUAGUAAGGUGUGUUAUUAAAAAUCUUACCGAAAUGCAGAAGACACCGAUUUGAAUACCACUAGUAAGUUUAAUAGGGAAGCCACCUCCAAAUGCUCCAUACUCCUCCGCUGGAACAUCGUACUUGGCAGGCAUAGUGGUGCCUUGCUGAGCCAUCAUCAAGCCCAUUCGCAUACUUGACAUACGGAAACGCUGGACAGUCGCAUAUUUGCGCUUUAUGAAGGCAUCGUUGUCAGGACUACUUCCAUCAUAAGCCAAAUGGAACACCUGAUGUCCAUUCAAAGUAAUAUCGAUGACAAUGGGAGCAGUGUAAGCCGCCUUUGCAUAUAGAUCACGAACAAUGACACCCAAGCUGUAGCAAUCUGCAUAAGAUAGAGAGGAAAAACGAAGAGCUUCCUCCUGCUCAAUGAUGAUAUUCUCAAGUUCUUUAAGGUUGUCAUUUGGAUUUUUUAAGAAGCUUUCCUCCAGAUGAUCGGUACGCUUCAAAAUCUACACAGUAAUGAAAAUUAGUAGCUGUCGCUUUAUAUUUGAGGGAUUCAUCGUAUUUAAUCAAAUCUUCCAACUGUUUAUCGAGUGCCGCUAACGUCGAAACGCGAACAAACAUUCAGCAUGUUUGAGUAUCAUACUGAAAACAUCCUACAAGCUUAAUACGCUGGGUUUGCUUACCGUCAACAAAUUAGUCAUAGCCAUAGUUAUAAUUCAAUGAUCAAUAGAAAAACAACCAAAUUAAACAAAUUUUCCUUAACUCCU